UACGAAGGGGGCUAGCGUUGUUCGGAAUUACUGGGCGUAAAGCGCGCGCAGGCGGCCAAUCAAGUCAGGGGUGAAAGCCCGGAGCUCAACUCCAGAAUUGCCUUUGAAACUGAUCGGCUUGAGUACGGGAGAGGUGAGUGGAAUUCCCAGUGUAGAGGUGAAAUUCGUAGAUAUUGGGAAGAACACCGGUGGCGAAGGCGGCUCACUGGCCCGUUUCUGACGCUCAGGCGCGACAGCGUGGGGAUCAAACAGG
rnacentral:rRNA from 1 species